GCGGACGUAGCUCAGCUGGUAGAGCGCCGGUUUGUGGUACCGGUGGUCGCGGGUUCGAGCCCCGUCGUUCGCCCCA
rnacentral:tRNA from 10 species